rnacentral:rRNA from 1 species
AAGCUGGCGGCGUGCCUAACACAUGCAAGUCGAGCGCGAAUGGAGCAAUCCUAGUAGAGCGGCGCACGGGUGAGUAACACGUGGGUAAUCUGCCUGGAAGAUCGGAAUAACCUGCCGAAAGGCAAGCUAAUACCGGAUAAGCCCACAGGAACUUCGGUUCCAGAGGGAAAAGAUGGCCUCUGCAUGCAAGCUAUCACUUCCAGAUGAGCCCGCGGCCCAUCAGCUAGUUGGCGGGGUAAUGGCCCACCAAGGCUACGACGGGUAGCUGGUCUGAGAGGACGAUCAGCCACACUGGAACUGAGACACGGUCCAGACUCCUACGGGAGGCAGCAGUGGGGAAUUUUGCGCAAUGGGCGAAAGCCUGACGCAGCAACGCCGCGUGUGUGAUGAAGGUCUUCGGAUCGUAAAGCACUUUCGACCGGGACGAAAACCCGUUGGCUAACAUCCAACGGCUUGACGGUACCGGGAGAAGAAGCACCGGCUAACUCUGUGCCAGCAGCCGCGGUAAUACAGAGGGUGCAAGCGUUGUUCGGAAUUAUUGGGCGUAAAGCGCGUGUAGGCGGCUAUGCAAGUCGGGUGUGAAAGCCCUCAGCUUAACUGAGGAAGUGCGCCCCGAAACUGCAUGACUUGAGUACCGGAGAAGAUGGCGGAAU